rnacentral:misc_RNA from 1 species
GGGGAGGGCACAAAUAUGCACAAACAAGUUCUAUUUUUUAUGGAUAUGUUAAGAGUUUAUUUACAAGCCUAUAGACAUGAUUUCUAGGUGUUCAAAAAAAGUAACACGUAUAUGCAUAAUUUUGUAAAUUUAAAUGUUAUGAACAAAUUAAACCUUAGACAUGGUUUCUACAUGACAAGAUGAUGCUAAAAUUAUAACAUUGUUAAAACACCUAAUCAGCCUAUUAUGAUUUUAUUUUAAAAUUAACGGAAUCUAGUUUAUUAUUUUUUAGACUUAUUAACAAAGCAUCAAACAAUUGAUUGGAUUAUAACACCUACAAACAAUAGUUCUAGGUGGUUAAAGACAAAACUAUAGGCAUGAUUUCUAAAAAUUUAUAAUGAACAACUAGGCAUAUAAAUCCCCCUCCCCUAGA